rnacentral:rRNA from 1 species
UCAGGCCUAACACAUGCAAGUCGAACGGCAGCAUAGGUGCUUGCACCUGAUGGCGAGUGGCGAACGGGUGAGUAAUACAUCGGAACGUGCCCAGUCGUGGGGGAUAACGUAGCGAAAGUUACGCUAAUACCGCAUACGAUCUAAGGAUGAAAGCGGGGGACCGUAAGGCCUCGCGCGAUUGGAGCGGCCGAUGUCAGAUUAGGUAGUUGGUGAGGUAAAGGCUCACCAAGCCGACGAUCUGUAGCUGGUCUGAGAGGACGACCAGCCACACUGGGACUGAGACACGGCCCAGACUCCUACGGGAGGCAGCAGUGGGGAAUUUUGGACAAUGGACGCAAGUCUGAUCCAUCAAGGGCCGCGUGCAGGACGAAGGCCUUCGGGUUGUAAUUUGUAGGGGUACGGAACGAAAAAGCUCUUACUAA